CAUUAAUAACUAAUUAAAGUGUUUGUGAGGGCCGUAGAAAUUUUUUAAACAACGCACCUCGAUCUCUAAGAAUUUUAAAAGAUUAAUUAAAUGCGGGCCACACAUUUGAGAUUUUAUCUGGCGCGACGCACCUCAUUACCGAUUUAAAAAGAGGAACUCAAACUAAAUUUCGAAGGGCUACAAACUAUUUGUGUUAUCUAAUAUGGCUCACCUCCAUUAUUUGAAAGAACAUAGUUAUCUAAAUAUUAAAGGAGUUGGGUUUCUACUUAUUGUAUACUACUGUUAAGUUUAAAAAAACUUAUGAGCAACCCACGUCUGAUUGUGAAGGACUUUGAGCUGGUCGCAAGCCAAGGACUAACCAUCCUUUACUAUAAGUCAACAUAAAGACCAAACAAGCCCACAAUGAAGCCCAGCACGGAGACCAAGUCGCUGAAAGUGAAAACCAAUACAAUUGAGCCAAAAGCUGGUAGCCCAAUAUACCCACUUAAAAAUUAAUUCCAUGAGUCAGCAUUGAAUGUAAAAUUAACUUAACAUCUUUUGUCGCAUGGCAAUCUAAGAGAACAUCACUACCCUAAGGAAGAUCAAAAUUCAACUGAGAAAUGAUUUGAGAAACUUAUUAACAUAUAACCAAGGCCCAGCAUGCUUUUCUAUGCGAACAAACGAGUAUGUGCUACCUGAAAUUUACUUUUGGUUCAUUUUGUAAUUUCACAUGGAUCACUACUGAUCUCAAACCCACGUAUGAAUAAAUAUCCACCAACCAAAUAAAGCCAAAAUCAGACCCAAAAUGCAGGACUAAUAUUUCCAAAUGUGACAAUCAUCAAAACAUUUCUUGUCUUUACUUAUGUUAUCCAACACAACAGUAGGCUUCAUUUACACUUGAAAAUCAACACAAUGGUAUCAUACAGCCUAUAGAUUAGUCCCUGAUGAUAUCCAUAUUUCAAUAAUGACAAAAGUUCAGCUAUUGCAACUAAUAUUCAGCAUAUAUUUUUAACAACUAAACCUGAAAGUGCAUACCAGAUCUCCAUCUGCAGCUUAUACUAACAAUAUUAAAAUUCCUAUGACUUCAGUAAUCAAAGAAUCCAUUCAAACUAAGUAGGCUACCAUUAACUCGAAUCAACAGAACCCACAUCUUAUGCAUAUUAGAUACAUAGGAACUUAAGCAAACUUAAUAUUCAGUAUAACAAACUAAGAUUUACAGAGAGAAGGAAUUCAAAUAACAAGCUAAUCAUAUGAACAGCACACAAGACUAAAAUGUCAACUCCAAACUUCUAUUUUUCAUAUUACUUUCAACUUGAAGAUCACUUAUACAGGUUUCAGAAUAUGUACCUGGAAAUUGCACAAAAAGGAAAAGAAGUGACGGACUAGCAAUAAAAUAGUAGCCAGCAAACCAGCAACACCAGUUCCAACGAUUAAAAACCUAGGAAAUCAACUCAGCAAAACCAGUGAAAGAUUAACCCCCAAUCAAAAAACAUUAAUAACCAAAUAUCAAUCCAUUUGAAUAUCAGAAUAGGUACUAUUGUUUUUCAGAAGUAAAGAAAAUCACUGAAAUUCAAUCGAGGAGUAGAACUUUUGGCCUUUUUGUAUUUUUCUGGAAUUCUAUCUCUAAUUUUCUCUGCCUUGAAAGGCAAGAAUAAGGUGCCUUUAUAGGAAAGCAAAUAGAGCAUACCUAAGAGUUCAAUUUUCACUUGUCCCUUUCUAAUUCUUAUUUUGGCUUAGGUGUCCCUGUUUGAUUUUCUAUCAUUCAAAAUAACUCAUUCCCCAACUUCCUAGAAGUUUCCUAGUUAAGAAAGAUUCAUUCUAUCAAAUCUCCCUAAACUACCCUUCAAGAAGUUGAUAUUUACCUUCACAGAAACUCAGUUUAUGGGUCAAAUUAAACUAAGACCCCACCCAACCCAUGGGCUUGCAUACUACAACCCAAACUGAAUUUCCAAACCUUGAACUUAACCGAAACUUUUAAAGAAACAAACUUCCGAAUAUUUUAAACAGAAAAAGAUUUCAAUAGAGAUGCUUGGGAAACAGUAAUUCAAAGCAAUUAAAUCAUCCAUUUAAUCAAAUUAUACUAAGAUACUAAUAUGCUAAUUCCCAUUUUAUUAAACACCAAACUAAACCUGAAUGGAAAAGGGAGAAGACUCAAAAUCCUAAUGACCUAAGGUAGUUCAACUUAUUACUGUUAACAAACUUAAAGUUAGCAGCCUAAAUCAUGAAAUUAAAUAAGAAAUAACACUCGUGAAGAAAGAAACCAAAAAAAAUGAAGCGAAGAUCAGAGAGAAACAAAACAAUCACAAAGAAAAAAAGAAUUACCCCCAUACCUACAUUGGAUAGACCCUUGUAUGAACUUGAACCUUUGACCAACCAAGAAAGUAACAAAGGGAAGAACCUAGGGCUUUUUCAGACCCCUGCUUCAACGUUGAAAGUCCUGGGCUGCUUUGAAAAGAAACGAAAGCUCAGUUCAGGUAGAAAAGGGUGAGGGAUUGCAUGGUGCAAGUUUUGGGUAGAAUUAGGACUUUUAGGGUGUUGGUUCUAGAUCUAAAAUUCGAGGAGCUUAGUGAUAGUUUUAAAUAAACGAGCUGGGGAUUCGGGACGAGGAGAUGGAGGGGAUUAUGCGAUGUGAAUUUAGGCUUGAUUGGCUGUCGGCCGCCACCAUGGGAAAUUUCCGGCAGGCAGCGGUCGAAGGGCGGAGAUCGGCAGACCUUCAGGGUGUGAUAGGGAUGAGAGAUGGGGAGUGGGGUGUCGUUAAGACAUAUAUACAUCUCCUUAGUUUAGAACCGUUAAUGUGAUGAGAUCUAAC
rnacentral:lncRNA from 1 species